rnacentral:rRNA from 1 species
AACGCGAAGAACCUUACCAGGGCUUGACAUGGGGAGGACGCAGCCAGAGAUGGCUGUUCCCGCAAGGGCCUCCCGCACAGGUGCUGCAUGGCUGUCGUCAGCUCGUGUCGUGAGAUGUUGGGUUAAGUCCCGCAACGAGCGCAACCCUCGCCUUCAGUUGCCAUCGGGUUUGGCUGGGCACUCUGAAGGAACUGCCGGUGACAAGCCGGAGGAAGGUGGGGAUGACGUCAAGUCCUCAUGGCCCUUAUGUCCUGGGCUACACACGUGCUACAAUGGCGGUGACAGCGGGAAGCCAGGCAGCGAUGCCGAGCUGAUCCCAAAAAGCCGUCUCAGUUCAGAUUGCACUCUGCAACUCGGGUGCAUGAAGGUGGAAUCGCUAGUAAUCGCGGAUCAGCACGCCGCGGUGAAUACGUUCCCGGGCCUUGUACACACCGGCUAC